rnacentral:rRNA from 1 species
AGCGAACGCUGGCGGCAGGCUUAACACAUGCCAGUCGAGCGGGCAUCCUUGUGGUGUCAGCGGCAGACGGGUGAGUAACGCGUGGGAACGUGCCCUUCGGUUCGGAAUAACUCAGGGAAACUUGAGCUAAUACCGGAUACGCCCUUCUGGGGAAGGGCUUGCUGCCGAAGGAUCGGCCCGCGUCUGAUUAGCUGGUUGGUGAGGUUACGGCUCACCAAGGCGACGAUCAGUAGCUGGUCUGAGAGGAUGAUCAGCCACACUGGGACUGAGACACGGCCCAGACUCCUACGGGAGGCAGCAGUGGGGAAUAUUGGACAAUGGGGGCAACCCUGAUCCAGCCAUGCCGCGUGAGUGAUGACGGCCUUAGGGUUGUAAAGCUCUUUUCUCCGGGACGAUAAUGACGGUACCGGAGGAAUAAGCCCCGGCUAACUUCGUG